GGCGAGUGAAGCGGGAAGAGCUCAAAUUUGUAAUCUGGUACUUUCAGUGCCCGAGUUGUAAUCUCGAGAAGUAUUUUCCGCGUUGGACCGCACACCAGUCUGUUGGAAUACAGCGUCAUAGUGGUGAGAACCCCGUAUCUGGUGCGGAUGCCCAAUGCUUUGUGAUAUACUUUCGAAGAGUCGAGUUGUUUGGGAAUGCAGCUCAAAUUGGGUGGUAAAUUCCAUCUAAAGCUAAAUAUUGGCGAGAGACCGAUAGCGAACAAGUACCGUGAGGGAAAGAUGAAAAGCACUUUGGAAAGAGAGUUAACAGUACGUGAAAUUGUUGGAAGGGAAACGCUUGAAGUCAGACUUGCAUUUCGGAGUUCAGCCGUAAGGUGUAUUCUUCGAUUCGCAGGCCAGCAUCAGUUUUCGGGGGUGGAAAAGCGCGGUUUGAAGGUAGCAGUUUCGGCUGUGUUAUAGCUUUCCGCUGGAUUCACUUUUGGGGACUGAGGAACGCAGUGUGCUUUUAGCAAGACUUUCGAGUCUUUCACACUUAGGAUGCUGGUGGAAUGGCUUUAAACGACCCGUCUUGAAACACGGACCA
rnacentral:rRNA from 1 species